GAAACAUAAAGGUUGCAAUAUCUUGAAACCUUAGUAGAACUAAUCUGCUCAUAUUUCUGGACUCUUGAUAUUUAAUGUUUUCCUUUUCUGUGCUUCCUCCUUUAGUCAUUGGUGACAAAAUUUCUAGUGCUACACUGUACAGGUCAAGCAGAUGCAGUCAUCAAUUUGAUGCAAAGUUCAUAAAAGUUCAGGUGAAUACUUCAGCAGCAGAUCACCAACACGCAGCAACAACUCGCCUCCACCACCAGCAGCAGCAGAUCAAUAGCACCAGCAGCAGAAGAUCACCAGCAGGUGGCAGCAGAUCACCAGCAGCAGCUCGCCUCCACCAGACACUAACAGCAGCAGAAUCUGUCAAGGCUUAGACAAUCUGUCACCAAGGUCAAGCCUCCACCAGCGUCACCAAGAUCACCAAGGUCAAGCAGCAGCUCGCCUCCACCAAACACUAGCAGCAAAAGAUCACCAGCAGCGGCUCGCCUCCACCAGUCUGGAAGCAGAGCACGCGCCUCCACCAGCGGGCACACGCGGACCAGGAGGAGGAGCGCCUGGGCGAGGAUGGAGGGCAAAGGUGGAGGGCGGGGGUGGAGGCGGAGGUGGAGGGCGGGGUGGAGGUGGAGGUGAAGGCCGGAGGUGGAUGGCGGGGUGGANGGGGGUGGAGUGCGGGGGUGGAGGGGGGAGGUGGAGGGCGGGGGUGGAGGGCGGGGGUGGAGGCCGGAGGUGGAGGGCGGGGGUGAAGGCGGAGGUCGAGGUCGGGGGUGCAGGCGGAGGUGGAAGACGCGCGGAAUAAGAUGCUCUUUCUGUUGGAAUUACUGUAGCGACGCUAAUUCAAAAUUUGUAUUAGAGGCAUAAAAGUCAAUUACCUCAUUUUCACCUGGUCGGAAUUAUACUCGCAGCGACCUAUAUUUUGGUACCGAGGGAGUAACUAGUAGAACAUAUUCCUCAAGGGGCACACUUUGUAUGCUAUGCAACGGUGAGCCGAGAUGAGUGUUUGGUAAAAUUUAUAUGAUAUGGCUGGUUGUAUAUGCAGGUUCUUUAAAAUAUAGCUGAAAAUCGGGAAGGAACGUGGAUCAGGCGGCAACAUUGGGCGAUUGGACCCGGGGCUCAAUGACUACAGAUGUCCUGAUAGUGGAUCCUCACUUGCGACGGCGCGAGGCGGCAGGAUCUGGUGUGUAGCGCUCGGGCAAGGGCGAAUGAGGCCGGCGACGGCGCUUGACGGGUGCGCGGAGGUGGCAGGAUCUGGUGUGUAGCGCUCGGGCAAGGGCGAAUGAGGCCGGCGACGGCGCUUGANN
rnacentral:lncRNA from 1 species